UACGUAGGGACCAAGCGUUGUCCGGAAUCAUUGGGCGUAAAGCGCGCGUAGGUGGCCAUUUAAGUCCGCUGUGAAAGUCACAGGCUCAACCUGUGAAUGCCGCUGGAAACUGUCUGGCUAGAGUCCGGUAGGGGCGAGUGGAAUUCCUGGUGUAGCGGUGAAAUGCGCAGAUAUCAGGAGGAACACCAAUGGCGAAGGCAGCUCGCUGGAACGGUACUGACGCUGAGGCGCGAAAGCGUGGGGAGCAAACAGG
rnacentral:rRNA from 1 species